UCGAAAAUGUACUGUAAGUUGCUCUGGAUAAGAGCGUCUGUUAAAUGACAAAAA
rfam:Salmo salar isolate Sally breed double haploid chromosome ssa10, whole genome shotgun sequence.